UAAACAAAAUGAGGAACCAGACUAAGAAGUAUUAAGUAUGCUUAAAUAUGCUGAGGUCUUGGAAAUUGUAACUAAGAACGUGUAUCACUGUACCGUGCUUAAGGGGUAUAGCUUUCUCAUUCUCUACAUUCACUGGAAUUUUGAGAAGUAGUGCCAAGUAUAUGUUGUGAGCUUUGUCCACUCUGAACUCAGUGGCAAUGCAAGAGGCUCCUGGUUUGGUGGCCACAUCUCAGGUUCGAAGAGGGAGGCAGUACAGGGGCAGAGUGGGCUGCAUGGUGAGGCAGUGGUGCAUAUGGGCCUCAAGGGCUGGGCAGUGGUUUGGAAAUUGCAGUAGUGGAUGUGGUGAGGUGCUGCCCAGAUGUCCCUUCAGGAGGAGACAGACACACAUCGCCCAGCUGCAAGGAGAGCUGGCUGCUGAUGGAUCUCAGCUGAAUCCCUCUCUGAGAACUGCCUUUUGCCAAAGGUUAUACCUCCUUCCUGGGAGGAAGCCCACCUCUGGUGCCUGGUCAAAGGGGGGUGGAGGGCACAGCACCUUGACAUAAUUUCUGACAUCCUGAAGGGCCACCCCAGCUCCAGAGCUUCAGAUGGGAUCCACUGAGGCCUGAGUUGUGGACGCAUCAUGGUUCACCUUCCCCCUUUGCCCAGUCCCGCACCCCUCGCUCCCUCAAGGGGCUUCCUGAGAGCUCCCCAGUAAGCCCUGCAUGCAGAUCUCAACAUCUCACUGUCGGUUUCCAGGAUGCCUGAUGUAAGAUAGUAACAGGCUUUCCAGGCAGAGGGUGGCUUUGGGAAACAGUCGAGAUGUCCAGUUGGCUGGGGUGUUGUGUUGAGUGUAGGGGCAAGUGAGAUAGAAAUGUGGCAAAGGGGCAGGUCUGGGGGGUGGUGAGGAUCUGCAGUUUUGAGCACACGGCAGCCUUAUGGCCAAUUUAGGUCAAAUUACCAAAAAAUUUUGUGGUAUAUCUCAGGGACCAUAUUAUAAUGAGAAAAGUAACUGAAAGAAGUCGGUUUAUAAUGUACUGUCAUUUUGAGAUGCAAAUCCCAUCAUUAGUGAACCAUAGUUUUUAAAACAUUUUUUCAGGAAACAGGGAUAGAUCUGAGAGGAUUGUCUACAUAAGCAAUCUCCACAUGCAUUUACAAAAUAGCUGGUAGGGGUUAAAGAGAUUGCCUCUUCACUUUCGAAUACUUGUUCCUAGGUGAACAGAAACUAUGUCCUACUAGGUAUUAGAGAUUAUGUAUGUUCUCUCUGAACCUACAACAACCCUGCAAGGCAGUAUUAAUGUACCAGUUUUAGGGAUAGGGAAACUGAGGCUUAGAUGGAAUAAGGGACUUGCCUGGUGAGUAAGGGGUAAAGAUGGGAUUCAAUCCCAGAUUUCUUUAACUUAGAAGCUUCUGCUGUCCAAAUCAGAUGAGCAGGUCUCAUGGAGCCCAUGACCUGGGCCUCGUGCUCCAGGGCUCUGACUCACCAGGCCUAAGUGGUGACCAAGACAUGUGCUUAUUAACCCUUGUAAGUCAUCUGUUCAAGUAACCAAAGUGGCGCUUCAGUAACUUAGCCGUUGAUUUCAACAACGGCUCCUUCUUCAGUCACAAUAAUAAUCAUAAAUAGCACUUCUAUUUUUAUUAUUUGCAGAGCCCUUUCUAUGCAUGGUGUUGUCCGAGCUUCACAACAGGGCUCUGUGAUCCAGUGCCCACCCUUCUCCACCCAGAUGUGUGCCCUGGAAGGCUGACCUGUGGACUGAUCACUGGGCUUCCAGUUGAAAUUGGCCAGUUGGACGCACCAGCAGAUCUGGCAAUCAGAUAAGAGUGAAAUUGGGGUAUUUAUUCUGCUCCCUUCCUGUGAGGACAAUGUGGACUGUCUGGAUCCUAAUACUGUCAGGACUGCAGGAAGCCCUAGGAGUCAUCCUUGACUCCUCUCGUUCCCUCACAUUCUCCAUCUAAUGUAUCGGCUUCCAGGAUCUAUGUAGAAAGAAGUACAUUGCUGUGUGUUUGUAGCUCCGCCCAUCAUUUGAGGAAUCAGUGUAUAUUGCUUACAACUGAAAAACCCGAAGUGAUACAAGAAAAAAAAUCAAUGGUGGAAGCUAUUAGUAGCAGUCUAAGAAGUCUACUUAUUAUCUACCAGAACUCCUUAAGGAAAAUUUCCAAAUGCUUCAGAGAUGGGAAGGAGAGAAAGAAAGAAAGAAAGAAAGAAAGAAAGAAAGAAAGAAAGAAGAGAAAGAGAAAUGGAAGGAAGGAAGGAAGGGGAAAGGAAGAAGGAAAAAAAAAGAUUUCUUUAUCAUACCAUGACCAAGCACCUUCCCAUAUGGUGUGAUGGGAAGGUACAUUCCUGAGGAUGGCUGGGUUUGCAGGGUGGACCCCAUCGGCAUCAUUUAAACUCCUGCCCCUGGCCAGCCUUGGUCUCUUCCUCCCUGGACUGGCUGUUACAUACAACAUGCAGGAGAAAAGGAACAGUUUGUUGCUGCUUCACACAGAGCCCAGCUGGAAUCUGCCAGAGACUGCUCUGCAUCCGGAGACAAUUUACCUUGUUGGCCCUCAGGGCAAAAAUGAAGAUGACAAUGAGCCAAGGAUGUCAGAUUUUCAGACUGCUGCUGGCUGAGUUUCUUAGGUUCUAGUCUGCAAGCCUGAAGUCUAUAUUAAAGUGGAAACAAUUAAAAGCUC